UGGGGAAUCUUGGACAAUGGGGGCAACCCUGAUCCAGCGGCGCCGCGUGGGUGAAGAAGGCCUUAGGGUUGUAAACCCCUUUCGCCGGGGAAGAUAAUGACGGUACCCGCAGAAGAAGCCCCGGCUAACUUCGUGCCAGCAGCCGCGGUAAUACGAAGGGGGUUAGCGUUGCUCGGAAUCACUGAGCGUAAAGCGCGCGUAGGCGGGUCGCUAAGUCAGGGGUGAAAUCCUGGAGCUCAACUCCAGAACUGCCUUUGAUACUGGCGACCUUGAGUCCGGGAGAGGUGAGUGGAAUUGCGAGUGUAGAGGUGAAAUUCGUAGAUAUUCGCAAGAACACCAGUGGCGAAGGCGGCUCACUGGCCCGGAACUGACGCUGAGGUGCGAAAGCGUGGGGAGCAAACAGGAUUAGAUACCCCGGUAGUCC
rnacentral:rRNA from 1 species